CGAGCGCGUGCGCGCCGCAGGAAGGCCGGCGAGGGGCUGCGCGGGGGCGGACGUAGCAGGCACAUGCUCUUCCUGGCGUCCACUUCCGGCCUGCCGGCCGGCGAGGUUAGACCGCGUUGUUCACAGGCGGCGCGACGGCGGAACCGGUCCGCGUGGCCUACCCAAAGCUGUAAUCUCCUUGCCGUGACCUUGAGGUUCUCGGUGAGAAAGGUGAAUCUAAUUCCAUUCUUCUACCUGUGGACAUCCAGUUUUUCGAAGAAACUAUUCUGAAGAAUGCCCUCCCGAGUGGUCUGGAGUACCUGCACUGUGGUUCUCAAAGGGUCAAAUAUCUGCCUUUACCCGUUAUCUGAAAUCACACCAACGUGGCAGUGGUUCAUCUGGACAAGGACAGGAAAAAGGCAACCCAGACAGAUGAGAUGUUUUGUGGAUCGGAGUAGCAGAGAGGAGUGUCGUCAUAUCUGAAGACAGCAUUGCGGCAAAUGCUUCACCCACCCCCUGUGCUCCGCACCUGCAUCUUUCUCUUCACGGUGUCAAAGGGAAAGGAAAGAGUCUGGCUCACAGCAGCAGCCAUGCAGCCAUUGGCAAAGUUCUGCAGGUGAGAGAAGCGGUCCCGAGGUCCAUUCCAGAUUUUCUCCAGGUUCAUGUAAACUAGAAGUGAGCCAGCAGAGAAGGGAACAGCACCUGGGAAUCAAGUACAAGGAGAGGUUGUUGUCUGGAGGAACCACUGUCUGGAGCAAAGGAAUGCCUAUGGGGAAUGUACAAGGGGAAUAGGAGGGUCUGGAGCUGCUGAAAGCCCUCUAGGCUAAGGAGCAAGAGGGCAUGUUCUGGGGGUGGGGUGACAACAACAUAUCGUCAAGAUGCCUGAACUGGUUCAUUCAAAGUUGGUGCAGUUUCCUGUCAAUAAAUUGUACAUAAAA